rnacentral:misc_RNA from 1 species
UGGUCGCGCGCGGGCGCGUGCCAGGCCCUUUCGCCGGUUUUUCCCCAUCCACCUUCCCGCUUCGUGGCGGCGCGGGGGUAGACCUGGGCGACCAUCCACCCGCUCGGUCGGCGGUGCAGUUUCCGUCCGUGCCGCGGGUAGACGUGUCAACCAUGGCGGGGUUGACCUGUCGGCCGGUGCAGUUUCCGUCCGUGCCGCGGGUAGACGUGUCGGCCGUAAGGGGUUGACCUGUCGGCAGUGCCGUUUCCGUC